rnacentral:rRNA from 1 species
GAUAUUAGCGGCGGACGGGUGAGUAACACGUGGGCAACCUGCCCUGCAGAUGGGGAUAACUCCGGGAAACCGGGGCUAAUACCGAAUAAUCGGUUCUUCCGCAUGGAAGAACUCUGAAAGACGGUUUCGGCUGUCACUGCAGGAUGGGCCCGCGGCGCAUUAGCUAGUUGGUGGGGUAACGGCCUACCAAGGCGACGAUGCGUAGCCGACCUGAGAGGGUGAUCGGCCACACUGGGACUGAGACACGGCCCAGACUCCUACGGGAGGCAGCAGUAGGGAAUCUUCCACAAUGGACGAAAGUCUGAUGGAGCAACGCCGCGUGAGCGAAGAAGGUUUUCGGAUCGUAAAGCUCUGUUGCGAGGGAAGAACAAGUACGGGAGUAACUGCCCGUACCUUGACGGUACCUCGUUAGAAAGCCACGGCUAACUACGUGCCAGCAGCCGCGGUAAUACGUAGGUGGCAAGCGUUGUCCGGAAUUAUUGGGCGUAAAGCGCGCGCAGA